AGGAUGAACGCUGGCGGCGUGCCUAACACAUGCAAGUCGAACGUCCUGUCUCGCAAGAGGCAGGGAGUGGCGGACGGGUGAGUACCACGUGGGUCAUCUACCGUGAGGUGAGGAAUACCGGCGAGAAAUCGCCGACAAGACCGCAUAGCCUCGGUGCAAGCCGAGGAAAGCUCUUUCGAGAGAGGGAGCGCCACACGAGGAGCCUGCGCCCGAUUAGCUAGCUGGUGGAGUAACGGUUCACCAGGGCGACGAUCGGUAGCUGGUCUGAGAGGACGAUCAGCCACACUGGGAUUGAGAACGGCCCAGACUCCUACGGGGGGCAGCAGUGAGGAAUUUUCGUCAAUGGGGCAACCCUGAACGAGCAACGCCGCGUGCAGGAAGAAGGUUUUCGGAUCGUAAACUGCUUUUCGUCGGGGAAGAGAACGGACGGUACCCGAGGAAUCAGCCCCGGCUAACUACGCGCCAGCAGCCGCGGUAA
rnacentral:rRNA from 1 species